CGAUGAGGUAGAGGAGCGGGAAACAUGAGUAUCCGGUCAGAGUGUGACAGCGAAGACGACCGGAAAAAGGGUUCCCUGCCGAAGUAGGGGUAGUCGUCGAGCUAUCCUUGCUGGUACAUGUUUGAACAAAGGAUGUACUGUCAUGCAUUUUGAUAAAUGCAUGGUGCGCUACUGAUCGA
rnacentral:ncRNA from 2 species